GAAUUGCGCUUCCGCCAUCUUUCCAGCCUCAGUCGGACGGGCGCGGAGACGCUUCUGGAAGCUUGUAUUGGUUGGUGAUGGUGGUACUGGAAAAACGACCUUCGUGAAACGUCAUUUGACUGGUGAAUUUGAGAAGAAGUAUGUAGGUAUGUGCUGGAAAACCUUGCUUGUGGAAAUAUGUGAGAAAUGGGUAAGUUCAUCCACUCAAUCGCAUCGUUUCCGUUUCAGCCACCUUGGGUGUUGAGGUUCAUCCCCUAGUGUUCCACACCAACAGAGGACCUAUUAAGUUCAAUGUAUGGGACACAGCCGGCCAGGAGAAAUUCGGUGGACUGAGAGAUGGCUAUUAUAUCCAAGGUAGGCAUUUGUAACUUGCUGAACAGUUUUUGAGAGGUUUUGUGUACUUCACUCUUCAAGGUUAUAGAAAAUCAGGUCUGUUCCAACAAAUAGGGUCAUUUUUGGGUUAAAAAAAGACAAGUGGACUUCAGGGAGUUGACCACCAUUUUGGUGGCAGAGAAAAUUUUAUUAAAGUUGUGUCAUUUGCAUGCUGUGUCAUGCUAGGCAUGGUUUAGAAAAAACUGUGACUUACACUGGGACUUAUAAGUCAUAUUUAAAACAACAAUAGGCUGUUAACAGCAGUUUCAGUAUUUGGAAACUUAGGUUCAUGUAUGUAUUUUGGUGUGGUGAUCAGUGAAUGUUUUUACUGUAUUAGAAAACAAUAAACACCAGAUACUAGACCAGAGGAGAUAGGAGAUCUUAACAAGUGUUAUACAAGACUAGCUGAUUUCUUGUUAAAUUGUUUGUACUAAGUUGUGCAGAGUAUUUUUCUCAAAUAGUUUGAUUUAAAAAUUGCAAAGAAAAUGUUCAUUGUACCAAAAAGAGGAAUCAAAAAAAUACUCAUCUCUCUUGGAACCUCAUGUUGCCGAUAACACAUUAUCUGGAAUCAUUCCAUGCCUUUUGCUUUCCUUGAGCAUGUACAAAUAAACACAAGAAUUUACCCCAAAAGAAUCCUUUAAUCAAAAAGUUGUGGUUUUUUGCCUUGCUAACUGUACCAUAGUUAUUCCUGCA
rnacentral:sRNA from 1 species